rnacentral:rRNA from 1 species
UACGGGGGGGCAAGCGUUGUUCGGAAUUACUGGGCGUAAAGGGCUCGUAGGUGGCCAACUAAGUCAGACGUGAAAUCCCCAGGCUUAACCUGGGAACUGCGUCUGAUACUGGAUGGCUUGAAUCCGGGAGAGGGAUGCAGAAUUCCAGGUGUAGCGGUGAAAUGCGUAGAUAUCUGGAGGAACACCGGUGGCGAAGGCGGCAUCCUGGACCGGUAUUGACGCUGAGGCGCGAAAGCCAGGGGAGCAAACGGG